CUUGUUGGCUUGUUUUGAAAACCAUUAUGAAUCUUGUUUCAGCCUUGAGAAGAGGACAGGAAAUUCGCGAAAAAGAGAAGCUGGAUCGUGUUAAUAAAUUAACAAAAGAAAACACCGACAUGGCCAUUAAACUAGAAACUUAUAUUGAAGAAAUGGAAGAAAUGGACUCGCGUGUCGAAAGUUUAGAAAAAGAAAAUAAAGAAUUAUUGAAACAAAAUGAACGAGCAAAAACUAUGGAACUGUUUGGUUCACAUACGGCUGAGUUAGUGGAGCUGGAAGCGGAGAAAGAAGAGUUGACAAUCAAACUAGAAAAAGAAAUGAAACGGCGGGAAAAUGUUGAGACUGAACUUUUUAAAGUUGAAGAGGAGUUUGAAAAUUAUAAACUACAGGCUGAACAAGAAGAACUUCAAUGGCAGACGAAAAUGCAAAGUUUCGAGCUUAAAGAAGACGAACUUUUAAAUUUCCAGGAUGAUGAGAAUGUUGGAAACGUGGAAGUAAACAAGGAUUUAAAAAACAUUUUACGUUGCAAACAAAUCGCCAUUGGUAAUUUGGAGGGAGAAAAGAAGGAGCUAAUGAAUAAAAUUCAAUCAUUAUAGCAGGAGCGUGAAAUAUUACUCGAAGAAAACAGUUCUCUCGCAAAAGCUAACAUGAACCAGAAGGAGAAGAACGUGGAGGUUUCAGAAAACUUUAAAAACAAGAUUAAUCAACUAGAAAAACAAAUGGAAGAAAUGACUGAAAAUCGAAAAACGAUGGAGCAAGAGAACUUCGAUCGGCUCGUUUCGUCAGCUGAAAAGGAGUACGAAUACAGUCAAAAGUAUAAAGAGAAUCACCGCGAGUAUGAGCGAGUGAAGAACGAGUUGAACGUGGCUCAAGAAUAUCUAAGAUUAGCCACCGACAGAAACUCCGAGUUACAGGCGGAGCAUGAGAAAUUGCGAGACGCAUACGAAAAACUUAUGGGUGAAAAGAAGAACAUGGAAGAGAAUUUCAAACUUGAGAGAAAGAAAUCAGACGAAGCCUAUGAGAAGGAGAAAAACCAAAUGCGCGAGCACGCUGAAGAAGAGAAAGAACAAAGAGCAGGGUCAGGGAAUUUUGUUUAGUAUACUUUGCCAACUGCUA